AACGAACGCUGGCGGCAGGCCUAACACAUGCAAGUCGAACGCCCUGGCAACAGGGAGUGGCAGACGGGUGAGUAACGCGUGGGAACGUGCCCUUCGGUUCGGAAUAACUCAGGGAAACUUGAGCUAAUACCGAAUACGUGCGAGAGCAGAAAGAUUUAUCGCCGAAGGAUCGGCCCGCGUCCGAUUAGCUAGUUGGUGAGGUAAUGGCUCACCAAGGCGACGAUCGGUAGCUGGUCUGAGAGGAUGAGCAGCCACACUGGGACUGAGACACGGCCCAGACUCCUACGGGAGGCAGCAGUGGGGAAUAUUGGACAAUGGGCGCAAGCCUGGUCCAGCCAUGCCGCGUGAGUGAUGAAGGCCCUAGGGUUGUAAAGCUCUUUCGCCAGGGACGAUAAUGACGGUACCUGGAUAAGAAGCCCCGGCUAACUUCGUGCCAGCCGCCGCAGUAA
rnacentral:rRNA from 1 species